CGGUCUUCUAAGCCACUUCCGCCCUAACCUAGUUGCCAUAGUAACAGAGCCUCCAGUGGAGGGCGGGGAAGGAGCUUGGAACCUGCUGAGUGGGGAUGGAUGGGUCUGUGUUCCCAUCCACUUACAAAAAAGCCGUGCAUUAUGGUUGAGAGGGGAGCCGCCACCGAGAGGAUCCCUGAGACCAAAGAUCCAUCGGGCAGUCCACCAGCUCUUCAACAAUCGACUCAGACCCGCAAGUCCACGCCCCUUCUAGCUUCUAGUACUACACUGGGAUUGAAGGUAUGCACUGCCAUUUCCAGCAGUUUUAUUAAGAUACUGGAGCUGGAACUCAGAUCUUCACGGUCAUUCAUCACAUUCCUGAAAAGCCUUUCUGGAACUUUCUGAUGGCUACUUCCUCUGUACUCCCUAUAAAGACAUCCAUGUGGCCAGUUAUGCUGAGUAGGGUAAGUCAAUCACCUUCACUCUGUGUAGACCUCUGUGUUAUGGUGGAAGUUCCACCCAAGCCACCUCCCCUGUCUCUCUCCCAACCCUGCUGCAUCUCAGAAAGCCCACCACAUGAUGACCUCUCCCCCAGAGAUGAUCAAGACCACUCCCACUGGGUAUUUAAACUGCUCCCAGAGGGCUGGAG
rnacentral:lncRNA from 1 species